rnacentral:rRNA from 1 species
CACGUAGGGUGCGAGCGUUGUCCGGAAUUAUUGGGCGUAAAGAGCUCGUAGGCGGUGUGUCGCGUCGGCCGUGAAAACCUGCAGCUUAACUGUGGGCUUGCGGUCGAUACGGGCAUCACUGGAGUUCGGCAGGGGAGACUGGAAUUCCUGGUGUAGCGGUGAAAUGCGCAGAUAUCAGGAGGAACACCGGUGGCGAAGGCGGGUCUCUGGGCCGGCACUGACGCUGAGGAGCGAAAGCGUGGGUAGCAAACAGG